ensembl:snRNA U2 U2 spliceosomal RNA
UUCGCUUCUCGGCCGUUUGGCUAAGAUCAAGUGUAGUAUCUGUUCUUAUCAGUUUAAUAUUUGAUACAUCCUCUAUCCGAGAACAAAAAAAUAAAAUAAAAUAAAUACAUCAU